ACGGGAGGCAGCAGUGAGGAAUAUUGGUCAAUGGGCGGAAGCCUGAACCAGCCAUCUCGCGUGAAGGAAUACGGCCCUACGGGUCUUAAACUUCUUUUAUAGGGGGAUAAAGUGAGAUACGCGUAUCUUUUUGUAGGUACCCUAUGAAUAAGCAUCGGCUAACUCCGUGCCAGCAGCCGCGGUAAUACGGAGGAUGCGAGCGUUAUCCGGAUUUAUUGGGUUUAAAGGGUGCGCAGGCGGCACGUUAAGUCAGCGGUGAAAUGCAGGGGCUCAACCCCGGCACUGCCGUUGAAACUGGCGAGCUCGAGUACGGAUGAAGUCGGCGGAAUGUGAUGUGUAGCGGUGAAAUGCUUAGAUAUGUCACAGAACACCGAUUGCGAAGGCAGCUGACUAAUCCGCAACUGACGCUCAGGCACGAAAGCGUGGGGAUCGAACAGGAUUAGAUACCCUGGUA
rnacentral:rRNA from 1 species